GUUUUUAUAGUGUAUCUAACAUUUUACUUUUUCGUCGUAAAGCUGAAAUAAUUAAUAUUUCUAAAAACA
rnacentral:tRNA from 1 species